UGUAUAUAUAUAUAUAUAUAUAUAUGUAUUUUUUUGUAAGAUUUUGUUGUCAGGAUUGUGUACUAUGUGACGACUAUUGCAAAUAUCUACGUGUUUCAUUUCUUUCUUUUAUUUGUUUGUGAGAAACUCAUUUUUUUUAGAUUUGAAUGCCUCUCUUGUCAUCAAAGUUUGAUGGACUGUUUUGAAACUUUGCACCUGUGGUCAUGUAGCCUUUGAAUACUUUUCUGUUGUUGCUACUUU
rnacentral:lncRNA from 1 species